rnacentral:tRNA from 1 species
GAUUUUUCUUUUAUUAGAA